rnacentral:rRNA from 1 species
UACGGAGGGUGCAAACGUUGCUCGGAAUCAUUGGGCGUAAAGCGCACGUAGGCGGUCCAGCAAGUCGGGUGUGAAAGCCCUCGGCUUAACCGGGGAAGUGCAUUCGAAACUACUGGACUUGAGUACUGAAGAGGAUCGCGGAAUUCCUGGUGUAGCGGUGAAAUGCGCAGAUAUCAGGAGGAACACCAAUUGCGAAGGCAGCUCGCUGGGACGUUACUGACGCUGAGACGCGAAAGCGUGGGGAGCAAACAGG